rnacentral:sRNA from 1 species
UGAACUGAAUCUAAUCGAGUCAGAAUA